UGCUGCGCCCUGAUGUGGAGACAGCGUCAACACCCACAACCUGUGUCUUUAUUUUAUAGCAGAUGCCACAAGGCAAAGUGAGGGCGUGGUCAAGAUGUUUACAACAUCCUCGUGGGUUUCAAUCCCACUUAACUACAUGCACCCGAUCAAGCUUUGUUUCCUUGCAGCCUAUCUCACUCAGGCACGUGGGGCCAUGUGUUCGGACCACAGGUUCAAGCUUACAACUAGAGCUGUUGGCUAUAAUUGUGCUGGGAGGGUUCUGCCCUCCAAGCUGGGAUUUGCAUGUGGC